rnacentral:rRNA from 1 species
UACAGAGGGUGCAAGCGUUGUUCGGAAUUAUUGGGCGUAAAGGGAGUGUAGGCGGUUGGGAAAGUCUUCUGUGAAAUCUACGGGCUCAGCCUGUAACGUGCAGAGGAAACUACUCGGCUUGAGUGUCGGAGAGGAUAGGGGAAUACCCGGUGUAGAGGUGAAAUUCGUAGAGAUCGGGUGGAACACCAGUGGCGAAGGCGCCUAUCUGGCUGACAACUGACGCUGAGACUCGAAAGCAUGGGGAGCAAAC